UACGAAGGGGGCUAGCGUUGUUCGGAAUUACUGGGCGUAAAGGGCGCGCAGGCGGCCUGCCAAGUCAGAUGUGAAAGCCCCGGGCUCAACCUGGGAACUGCAUUUGAGACUGGCCGGCUAGAGUUCGGGAGAGGAGAGUGGAAUUCCCAGUGUAGAGGUGAAAUUCGUAGAUAUUGGGAAGAACACCGGUGGCGAAGGCGGCUCUCUGGACCGAUACUGACGCUGAGGCGCGAAAGCGUGGGGAGCAAACAGG
rnacentral:rRNA from 1 species